UUUUUCUCUCAUCCCUUCAUCAUAUCUUCAAUGAAAAUUCAAUCAAUGUAUGUUGAUCAAUCGAAUUCUUCUUAUAUGGGUUGUUCUUGCAUCUGGGGUUUUCUCAAAUUUCCUUUCUUGUUUGGAAAAAUUUCUCCUUGUUUUUAGUUCUUGGCGCCGCCCGUUUGAAUUUCUGGUUUAUCGCGGUUGAAUUUUAAUUCUGGUUAUUUGGGGCUUCUUUUUUUCUGAUAAUAUUGAGUUGGGUUGCUUUUAUUUACGAUUGAAAGGAUGUUUUUUUUUUUUUUUUUGGGUUGAAAUUUUGGGGGUUUAUAUUUGAAUUUGAUUUUUUUUGGUUCUGUUUGAUGUGAUGUUAUAAUGCAGGUUAGUUUUUUGCUAUUUCCUGUCAGGAUUUUAAAAUUGCCUUUGUGGAAUAGUGGUGGGAUUGUUUUCUAGUGGUUUUGGGAAGUUUUUUAAGCAUGGACAUCUCAUAUUGCACCUUUUGACAAUAGGAACUAUUGCGGGAUAUUUCGGCAAAUAUCGCAGAUAUUGCGUAAAGUAUCACAAAGGGAAACAUUGGGGAGGCUUAGGCAAAUGGUGAAAUUUUUCAGUGAAACUUCAGGAAUUGUUAGAAGUAGGGGUGGAAAUGGUUUGGCUCUGCCCACAGGACAAAUGAACCGAUCCGCUUCUGGGGUGAGUUUGGGCCAAGCUAAAUGGGUUAGUGGGUUGGGUUCGGGUAGAAUAUGUGGCCCAUUAAGUAAACGGGUCGGGUUCAUGUUGAACCCUACCCAACCUAAACUGUUCAUAAAUUUUAUCAGUGGGUUAGAUGACAUGGCCUGACUCAACACAAAACCCAAAACAAAUUAAUACACAAUAAGUAGAUACAUGCAUAGAGUGUAUGUAUGUUGGUAUGUAUUCUCUAAUUGGAUCAGGCUGGCGUACCUUUAGCCCCGUAUUCCAUUCUUAAACCCAAGCAUAGCCAUGCCACAUUGGGUCAAGUUGGUCAAGCUCGACCUGAUUACAAUUAAAUGGGUUUGGUGAAGUCAGCUUGGGUUUGGUGAAGUUUAAGUGGGUCAAGUCGGGCCACAGGGUAAUGGGUCGUGGGUCAGGUUUGGGCUGAAACUAUUGGUCCGUUUAGUAAAUGGGUCAGGCUUGUUGGACUGACCUUGACCCGGCUUGAAUCCAACCCACCACCACCCCUAGUUAAAAGAGUCGUGACUAUACAACAGCAAUUCAUACAUUACAAGAAAAAAGUUUAAUAGUUUUCCAUCUCUUUGGUGACAAAACUGUGUGUUGUUUGUGUUGCCUUUCAAAAAGCCUCUAUUGUUGGCCACAUCCAAAAUGAGUUCAUAUCAUUCAAAUGUUAUACAAUCCAAGCAAUAAAACACAAAUAAUACAACUAAAUCCUAAAAGGAACAAAAAAAUAUGUUGGCUUUAGAUAUGCAUGGAGUUAGAGGUGGCUCAAAGUCGUUGUCCCUAUCCCUACUGUGGGCAAUCAUAAUAAUGCUGCUCCACAUCAGUGCUAUACUAUGCCCAACUCAUGAGUUGAUGAUACCUGGCCAUUUACUCUCCAACAUAUUGAUGGUACUCAUCCCCAAUAAUGUUCACCGGAUUGCUUAAUGGUGGAUUCUGAUCGUAACUGUCAUAGUUGCUUACUGUGAUGCCAAUUGUGGUUGUGGCUAGACACCUCUGUUCUCAUAUGCGUAUCUUAGAAAAAUCUGCCCAUAGCCAUACUCGUGUUUGUAUCCAUAGGCUAACUCAUAGGCAUAACCAUAGCUGAAUGCCUGCAAAUGGGUGUAAUAGCUACAUAGAUGCUCAUCCCAUGAUCACAUGAGCCAUUUUCAUAAGGCAGCGUGGAGGUGGAGCUCCCUGUUCAUCACUAGCAUAUAUGGACCCAAGGCUCCGUGAAAUAAUCUUCUCAUCGCGUGGCAACUGUUUCUUACAAUGCAAAAAAUGUUCAUUAAGCUUUGUUGCCUAUGCACAAUUGUGGCAUGAGUGUCAUAUUCUAGUCUCGAGUGGCGUGGUGAAAGUGCUCUUCUUAGUGAAUGGGCCAACAUGCAUCUAACUCGGGCUCAUGAACAUCAUUGACAAUGCCACUACCACCCCCAUUGUCAUUGCCUCUGUUGUUGUCUCUAUCGUCUCCAUUAUCAUCUCUUUGAGAUGGGGACAAAGUCCUAUCAUUGCUCUCUUCAUUACUCAGGCUCAACUCAUGCAAUGCCUUGUGUGACUUUAAUCUACCACCCUAGAUGCUGCACUGGUGAGGUCAUCAACAAGUCUUCAUGCUGAGACCUUAUUUUAACAUCCUUUCACCCGCAUCAAUGCCAUGCCUAUUGCAGCUAUAGCUUUCGUGGGAUUAGAGCAUCCAUUUGGCUCAUCCAAGUAUGAUCGCAUAAUCGACUCAUAAAGUGGGUUCUCCGUGCACUGCUCAUUAAUGAAUGCGUCUCCAUUGACGGUCAUUAAGUCCUAGGUGUCACACUCUAGCUCUUACCUAGUAGAAUUUCCAAUAGGAGAUAAAAUGAUAGAGAGAUAAAUUGAUGUGUGGACGCUGGAUCACGGGCAGAUCGUGUUCACAGGUCCAUUUUUAGGGCUUUCAUGUGUGUUUGAGGCAUGGGGUAUUAUAUUUGACUGAGAGUCGCCACUAGUCAAUUACUUAGAUUUCCACAGUCAACUAGACCUUGUAAAAACCUUAAGAAGGAAUAGUUGGAUUCCCUGUCUUAAAAUGACUACUGAUCUGUGACUGGAAAUUUUGAGUAAGGGACCACGGUUACAAAGAGGGAAGGUGUUAAUCACCCUCUCUGCCUGUAUAACUAUACGAUUGUUACUCAAUAGGAUUAAACGAAAUAUUAGGGAUUGGAUUGGUUCUUGUAUACUGAUGAUGCGAAUGUGUGUGUCAUGUGGUGUGGCGAUGUGGUGUCUGCAACAAGCGAUGGCUUGGGUCGGAUAAAUCUACCUUGACGCACCCACUUAGAGAAGCAGUCAAAGCCUAGUUAGAGUUUUUGAUGGGCAAGAUCCAGUAUAUCGGCAAGUCGCAGAGCAUACACUUGGACCGACUAGACCAACAGGGAAGGUUUCACUGAAUUGCUCUGGGGGAACACCAUAGCACACCCUUGCACACUCUCCAAUGCCAGGUUGGAAAGUUGUGUAAUGUCUCAUCCAGGGAAUGCCGUAGCCCAAUAUGAUUGUAGCAUCAGUUCCAUAAUAAGAAAGUAUGAUAUUUUGAUCUGUGUGUGGAUUUUGAGUGUAGGAAUGAUGUGGGCUUUCUUCAAUUAUUUUGUUAUUGGGAUUAGUCAUGGGAUUUUGCCUAGUUGGUGGUUGACAUUAAGGAGUAGCCCAAGCAAGAGUGCAAGCAUAGUUUCCAGAUUCUUUGGCCUGGUUAGUAAUUUUUAAAAUUUGGGGAAUCUAGUUAUCUGCGCCUUUUCACUUAGAUCAGUUUGUGGUUUAGAUUCGCUAAGCUGGCAAACUUAUUUUGUUCAAUUUAUGAGUACUGGAGAAGCCUCUCAAUCGUCACUCUAGGUCUUAUCUUCAAAUCUUCUGAAUCUCAGAUAUUUGUCACAUCAGGUGAUAUUUGAGAGUCAGAUGAGCUUAGGUGUUGGGGGUUCACAAAAUUUUGACAAGUUCGUGUACAAUAGAAAUAGAGAAUUCUGGCAAAUUGAAUUUGCUGAAUUUGGCAAAUGGAGAUUCAUAUAAAAAAGAAUUGCUGACCAGCUUGAUUCACUGAGUUGAAAUCCGCAUCAGCAAAGGCUGGCUGCUUACCAUAGAUUAUGGUUGCCUUCAUCACCUCUUCUCAUUGAUUUUUCUUUUUCUUGUUUUUGGUAGUAUUCUUCCGGGAGGACAACCAUUACUUGGAUCAUCACUAAUGGCUAACAAUGGUGGCCCGCCAGCAGCUGUAAUAGUUCUUAAUGAUAGAUUGUCAUACGUCAUCAACUCAACCUAAAACCCUUAACUGUUUAGUUCUGACCCUCCCUUACGUGAUUUUUCACCUAUUCUUAUCGCCACUCUCCAAUAUCAAAGUAUUGUCCAAAUCAUGUGAAUUUAAAUGUAGAUUGGCAUCAUCAUGCUUUGA